rnacentral:rRNA from 1 species
GACGUAGGGCGCGAGCGUUGUCCGGAUUUAUUGGGCGUAAAGAGCUCGUAGGCGGUUUGUCGCGUCUGCUGUGAAAACUGGAGGCUCAACCUCCAGCCUGCAGUGGGUACGGGCAAACUAGAGUGCGGUAGGGGAGAUUGGAAUUCCUGGUGUAGCGGUGGAAUGCGCAGAUAUCAGGAGGAACACCGAUGGCGAAGGCAGACUCUGGCCGUCAACUGACGCUGAGGAGCGAAAGCAUGGGGAGCGAACAGG